GAUUUCAAAUGGGAAUAUGGUCAACAACAAAGUUGAUCCUCUCAUCAAGAUCUACAACUUUUCUUUUGGUCACUUCUUCAUCCGACAAAGUGAUGGUUAUAUUAUUCACAAAAAUCACAUUUCUCUCAUCUGGUUUAUAAAUAUCAACACAUAUAUGUCAAUUUUAUAAACAUUGGUACUAUUACUUUGUCAGAUGAAGAAGUGACCAAAAUUAAAAGUUGUAGAUCUUGAUAAGUUGUACAACUUUGCUGUUUAUGGCUUUCCCAUUUGAAAUC
rnacentral:pre_miRNA from 1 species